rnacentral:rRNA from 1 species
CCUACGGGAGACAGCAGUGAGGAAUAUUGGUCAAUGGGCGUAAGUCUGAACCAGCCAAGUCGCGUGAGGGAUGAAGGUUCUAUGGAUCGUAAACUUCUUUUAUAAGGGAAUAAAGUGUGGGACGUGUCCUGUUUUGUAUGUACCUUAUGAAUAAGGAUCGGCUAACUCCGUGCCAGCAGCCGCGGUAAUACGGAGGAUCCGAGCGUUAUCCGGAUUUAUUGGGUUUAAAGGGUGCGUAGGCGGACUUUUAAGUCAGCGGUGAAAGUCCGUGGCUCAACCAUGGAAUUGCCGUUGAAACUGGGUGUCUUGAGUGUGUGAGAGGCAAGCGGAAUUCGUGGUGUAGCGGUGAAAUGCGUAGAUAUCACGAGGAACCCCAGUGGCGAAGGCGGACUGC